GAUGAACGCUGGCGGCGUGCCUAAUACAUGCAAGUCGAGCGAACAGAUGAGGAGCUUGCUCCUCUGACGUUAGCGGCGGACGGGUGAGUAACACGUGGAUAACCUACCUAUAAGACUGGGAUAACUUCGGGAAACCGGAGCUAAUACCGGAUAAUAUAUUGAACCGCAUGGUUCAAUAGUGAAAGACGGUUUUGCUGUCACUUAUAGAUGGAUCCGCGCCGCAUUAGCUAGUUGGUAAGGUAACGGCUUACCAAGGCGACGAUGCGUAGCCGACCUGAGAGGGUGAUCGGCCACACUGGAACUGAGACACGGUCCAGACUCCUACGGGAGGCAGCAGUAGGGAAUCUUCCGCAAUGGGCGAAAGCCUGACGGAGCAACGCCGCGUGAGUGAUGAAGGUCUUCGGAUCGUAAAACUCUGUUAUUAGGGAAGAACAAAUGUGUAAGUAACUAUGCACGUCUUGACGGUAACUAAUCAGAAAGCCACGGCUAACUACGUG
rnacentral:rRNA from 1 species